GAUUUCAACUGAAAAAGUUAUCAACAACAAAGUUGAAUAACUCAUCAAGAUCUGAAACUUUUAUUUUGAUCAUUUCUUCAUCCGACAAAGUGAUAGUAACAUUAUUCACAAAAUUGACAUAUCUCUUAUCUGGUUUUAUAAAUUAUAACACAUAUAUGUAAAAUUUAUGAACAAUGUUACUAACAAUUUGUCAGAUGAAAAAAUGAUAAAAAUAAAAGUUUUAGAUCUUGAUGAGUUAUACAAUUUUGUUGUUGAUGACUUUUUCAGUUGAAAUU
rnacentral:pre_miRNA from 1 species